UCAAACCAAUCAUAAAAUCAGUAAAUCAAUAAAAUUCAUCCAAUUAUGAGAAUCACACCACUUAAAAGCUAAUUAUAACAGGAUGUUGAACUUAGUGACAAACAAACAAACAUAUGAACAUUAAAACCUAAUCUUAGGAGAUCUUUGUGGACGACCAGAUACACAGCCAAAUCAAAAGAAAUUCUGACUUUAAAACAUGUAUGAACCUAAUCAGUUAUUCCAGGCUUGUGACAAGCAAACAAACAUAUGAAGAUUGAACCUUAAUUUUCAGAAGAACUUGUGUAUAAUCAAGACAACAAUCAAAAGACAAUCACAUGCAAUUAACAAUCAGCCAUUAAAAGAAAUCCGACAUUCAAAGCUAAAAAAUGAAAAUUAACAGGAAAACUUAGCUCUCAUUUUUGUUCUCAUUUAGACCAUCCCAGCUGGACCUUGAUUCUCUCACAGGGGUCUUGAAACCUCUAAGGUGAUGUACCAUCAAUUUUAAGGGCUCAAGGGAGUUUCAAAGAUUCUCAGACCUCAAAUAGGUCUCAUAUUUGAAUUUGUUUAAUUGUUGAGGGUGUUAGGGGGGUCAAGGGUGGCAUGGUUAGUGUU
rnacentral:lncRNA from 1 species